rnacentral:rRNA from 1 species
GACGAACGCUGGCGGCGUGCUUAACACAUGCAAGUCGAACGGAAAGGCCCUGCUUUUGUGGGGUGCUCGAGUGGCGAACGGGUGAGUAACACGUGAGUAACCUGCCCUUGACUUUGGGAUAACUUCAGGAAACUGGGGCUAAUACCGGAUAGGAGCUCCUGCUGCAUGGUGGGGGUUGGAAAGUUUCGGCGGUUGGGGAUGGACUCGCGGCUUAUCAGCUUGUUGGUGGGGUAGUGGCUUUCCAAGGCUUUGACGGGUAGCCGGCCUGAGAGGGUGACCGGCCACAUUGGGACUGAGAUACGGCCCAGACUCCUACGGGAGGCAGCAGUGGGGAAUAUUGCACAAUGGGCGGAAGCCUGAUGCAGCAACGCCGCGUGCGGGAUGACGGCCUUCGGGUUGUAAACCGCUUUCGCCUGUGACGAAGCGUGAGUGACGGUAAUGGGUAAAGAAGCACCGGCGAACUACGU